rnacentral:lncRNA from 1 species
UACUACUCAGCUAGCAGUUAAGGGAGCUAAGGUUUUAGUUCUAGAGAAGUAUGUUAUUCCUGGUGGAAGCUCCGGCUUUUACGAGUGGGAUAGUUAUACAUUUGAUGUUGGUUCAUCAGUGAUGUUUGGGUUUUGUGAUAAGGGAAACCUCAAUUUAAUUACUCAAGCAUUGGCAGCAGUAGGACGUAAACUAGAAGUUAUACCUGAUCCAACAACUGUUCAUUUCCACCUGCCAAAUGACCUUUCUAUUCAUAUACACCGAGAAUAUGAUGACUUCAUUGAAGAGCUUAUGAGUAAAUUUCCACAUGAAAAGGAAGGGAUUAUCAAAUUCUAUAGUGCAUGCUGGAAGAUCUUUAAUUCUCUGAAUUUGUUGGAGCUGAAAUCUUUGGAGGAACCCAUCUAUCUUUUUGGCCUGUUUUUGAAAAAGUCGUUGAAUUCUUGACUCUCGACGUUGAAUAUCCGAAUGUGUAAGUUGGAUUGACUUUACGUUUGGAUUAGUUGAUGGAGUAAUUAAGGUAUGUAAAACACUUUAUUCUGUGGCAUGACAAUAGUGUGCAUUAUUCUCUAUUUUUUUAAUUAUUAAAUAAAAACUAUUUUGCUGCUCUGUUUCUUCUUCAGUUUCUCUAUGUCUGCAACUGUGUUAGACUGCUAGGAUAGUGUUGAAGAAUUUGAUAUUGAUUAGAGAUAAAACCUCUAAGAUUAUUUCAUCCAAAAAGGAAUUCUUCUACGUUGGGCAUUGUAUGAUCUAAAUAUGAACAUUAGAGUAUCUGAAAGCUUGUUUGUGUAAGUUCUAGGGACUUUAGUGAUGACAUGUUGAAAUGCCUGCAGCGACAGAACCAGUUAACUCAUUUUUUGACAAAUUUAGCCUCUUUAGUUUCAUCAGACUACUUGGGGAAAUAUAUGAGUUACCAGUUUAAUGCAAGAGAGAGAAGAAAAAUAAUUUGUAACCUUAUUGUGAGGAAAUAUCAUACUACCUUUCAAGGGUUGUCAUGUACUUAUGGACAUGUAUGGUUGAACUUUAGUUGUAAUUCUAUUUGAAGUUUAAUGGGAACAAAUGGGAGAACAACUGUCUACAAGGGCUGUUAGGCGUAGUUUAUGUAAGGUAUUAGAUGUUGUUAUUAGCAUUAAGAUUUCCUGGUAAGUAGUUUGUGCUUUAGUCAGGUGUCUCAAGUUACACAGAAAAAGGGGGAAUAAUGAAUGGAAUGUAAGCCUGCAUUACAUGGACUUGGAUAUUGUUAUGUAGACGUGUACUUCAAGUUUUACUAAGCUUUUUUUGUGUUGAAGGAUAUACGAUAUGCGUACCCUUGUUUUAACUAUUAACUCUAGAUUAGGAGUUCCAUUUCUGAUGUCUGAAAUUAUUGCUACAUAAUUUAUCUUAUUUUUACAUCCUUUGGGUGAUCUUAGAUUGAAAUAUAUUAAUAUACUCUUGAAUAUUUUCAGUAGUUGUAUGCUGCAAAGAACGAAGACUUUGUGUUUUGAAGUAGUUAGUUGGUUUAUAAUUGUUAGGGGGAGUGUAAAACACUUAAAUAUAUCAUCACCCUAAGAAGCCAACAAGGAACAGUAGUAGACAAAGGCAGAUGAUAUAACAGUGUACACAUGGAUUUUUGAAAUAUAGUUGAGCAUAAUAAGAAUAUAUCCUAUACCGUACAUUGUGUUCCAAUGUGUUGGACCAUGAGGCUUUCUAUUGUAGUCUCAACCUUCAGUUUGAAUACCAGGCUGACAAAUUUAGUUAUCAUUCAUAUUCUCUGGGGCUAGCAUUACUAGGCUUUAGAACAGAUUGAGCUUAUUGUUUUCUUUUCCGUUUGCUGCAGUACAUCUUUCUUUUGCAGCAAAGACGUUCUCAAUUUUGUGAAACCAGUUUGUUGAUUCAUUUUUUUGUAAAAUUUCUGUGUUUUCUAUGGACUUUAAUUCUUGAAAUUUAUUAAAUUUAAAGUUUAUAAAUUGUAAGAACAUGUAUAACUUGAUAAGUUUUAAAGGAAUUUAUUCUCUAAUAAUUAUUAUUUUGAUCUCGAGUAUAACUUUGUCUCUGCAUAUGAAUGUUUUACUUAUGUUUGGGAUUUGUGGUGAUGAUUGUGUGCAUAUGACUUACUCCGGAGUUAGGCUAUUUUAAAGGUGGGUUCGGGGAUGGCAAUACGUAACGCCUGGCUCACUUGUCUGUUAUGUGGUAUUGAUGCUAUGUUACGCUGGGUGAGUAUGGGGAGGGCGAUACGCAACGUCCAACUCACACUGGUUGCUUCUGUAUUUUGAUAGGUGAGUACGAGGACAGUGAUACAUAACGCCCGACUCACCUAUGCUGAGCAUGGGAGAUAGUGAUGCGAUACGUAACUCCUGGCUCGCUUACGCUAUUUCUGUAUGAUGGUAUGUGGGGCAGGGAUGGCGAUACAUAACGCCUGACUCACUUAGCUUAUGGUUGAUAUGUUAGGAAAGUAAAUGCUUGUUACUUGAAUUCGAAUCUUGAAAGUAGACAUUUUGAUAUUUUUGGAUAUAUACUGCUCUCUGUACUUUUGUUUCAGAUACCCCUCAGUUUCAUAUAUUAGGAAGGAAGUAUGUAAUAAUUUGGAUAUGCGCUUACCGUUAUACUUUGGCCUUGUUUGCCAUACACAAUAUAUUUUGGUAAGUACUUUGAUAUAUUUUGGGUAUGCAUUUAACCAUUGUACUUUUGUUUUAAUGGUUGUCCUGAUAUGUAUAUAUAUACUCUAUACUUUCUACUUUACAUAUUUGGUAAGUAUUUCGUACUGACCUCCCCGCCUUUUCGGGGGCUGUGUUUCAUGCCCGUAGGUACAGACGUUCAGGUGAGAGAUCCUCCAGCUUAGGAUUUUGUCUGCUAUUUAAAGUGCUUCUUUGUUUCUGAGCAAACCUUGGGUAUAUACACCUCUUUACUAUUUUGUAUUUCUGUACGUUCGAGGGUACGAGGGGGCCCUGUCCUGUCUUCUGAUUCAGUUUGUGUAGUUAGAGGUCUGUGAACGCCUGUGAGUAUAGAAUAUAGAAGUUUGUAUGAUUAUGUACGUAUGCUAUGUGUAUGUUGGGCGGUUUAUCCAUAGCGGUGACCUUGUCGGCCCACACGCAUACAUAUAUAUAUAUAUAUGUUUGUUGUAUGCUGGGAUUCUUCUGUAUGCAGAAUUUAGAUAGUCAAUAAAACAAAAGAAACUCUGUCAAAAUUUCUAUAAAAUACGAUUUGUAUUUAUUAUCUGGCUUUGUAUUUACGUCUGGGUGCCUAAUUCGGGCACUAGUCAUGGUCCACGGGGUUGGAUCGUGAUAGAAGUGGUAUUAGAGCAGUUAGUACUCAGAGUGUCCAUAGACCGUGUUUAGUAGAGUCUUGUUUAUCGGUGUGUCGUGCCCCACAUCUAUAAACAGGAGGCUACAGGACAUUUAGGAUGUUACUUUUCCUUUUGAUCCUAGAUCGUGCGUUAAGAGCGGUGUUAGUAGGAUGAUCCCCCCUUACGUAGUUCCCGUGCCUAUAAGUAACUCAACUUCUUUGUUUAAAUGUGAUGUACGUUAACUAAGUUGAGGUGUGAUAACUAAGUUGUUAAUUGUUAAAUGGGGUAUUAUGAAAGUUGGAACUCAUAAGGUUAAUGUAACAUUCGAGGACGAAUGUUCUAAAGGGGGGGAGGAUGUUAGAACCCGUAUUGUAGUGUAUUGGAACCGUUACAAAAAUUGGGACUAAUGUUGCAUUCUUGGAAAAUUCGGGACUUAAGUGACAUUAUUGGAAAAAUUGGGGACUCAGGUAGAAUUUUUAAAACUUGGGUGAUUAGGAUUGGUAUGUCUUUAAUUGUAUCCUUGUAUGUCCUUAAUUGAUUCAUGUAGGAAAAGUUUAGUUACCAAAGUGUAAUUUCCUAGACUUGGAGCCUAGAAGAUUUAUUGUCAUGACCCACCUUAAUGGUGUUAGCUUCCUAUUGGACCAUGUGUGAGAGGUGGGGCCAAGUUAUGGUCUACAUAUAUGUAUACCUCUUGUACAAGAUCUUUAUCCAAAAACACUUAGAAAAAAAAAAGAGGAAUCAUGCCAAUCCACUUCUCUUUCCAUUUCAAGCACUAAAAACAAGAGAAGAACCCUUCAGUUUGCUGACCUCAUCAAAAUCCACCAAAAUACUCCUCUCACUUUGCUCAUAUACUUUGCUCAUCUAUAGGUUGAGGCCUCAGAGUUGUCAAAAUUCCAUUUCUAUACUUGGUACAUCUAAUCUUGUAUUUUCAACAACCUAUAGUGAUUCAAGAUUUUACAAUUCCGUGUGUUUUUGCAGUUGCAGAAGUAAAGAGUCAUCAAGAUUCCAUUUAUGUAGUUUAUGGUGUCUGCAAUUUUGGAUUUUCAAUAAUUUAAAGCAAAAACAAAGACAAUCUUUUUGGAUUUCUCAGUUAAAAGAAUUCGAUAGCUUGAAACCCACAAGGCAAAAGUUCAAGUCUUGUUUGGUUAACUUUCCAGGAAACCCAAAUUUUGUGAAAUACAGAAAUGGGUACUUUGAAUUUUCCAUUUCCCAAUUCACUUGUUGAUAGUACUUGCAAAAAUUGUAGCUUUGGGUGAUAACAAACCUAGAUACAAUAAAUAAAAAAGUUCUUGUUUUGACCUUUUGAGAUUUAGAAAUUGUUCUGAUUACCAACAACUUUAUGGCUUGAGUUGGGGGUGGAAAAGGUUAAGGGAAGAAAAGGAAGUACUAUUUCCAAUUUGAAAGCAGUUGUAGAUAUAGACAAGAAAGUGAGGAGCUAGGGAAAUACUGAUGUAGAAGGAAAUGAGAGUGAGAGGUAUGAUGCCAUUGUAAUAGGGUCUGGAAUAGGUGGAUUGGUGGUAGCAACACAGCUAGCAGUUAAGCGAUCUAACGUUUUAGUUCUGGAGAAGUAUGUUAUUCCUGGUGGAAGCUCCGGCUUUUACGAGAGGGAUGGUUAUACAUUUGAUUUUGGUUCAUCAGUGAUGUUUGGGUUUAGUGAUAAGGGAAACCUCAAUUUAAUUACUCAAACAUUGGCAGCAGUAGGACAUAAACUAGAAGUUAUACCUGAUCCAACAAUUGUUCAUUUCCACCUGCCAAAUGACCUUUCUGUUCGUAGAAUAUGAUGACUUCAUUGAAGAGCUUGUGAGUGAUUUUCCACAUGAAAAGGAAGGGAUUAUCAAAUUAUAUAGUGAAUGCUGGAAGAUCUUUA